UUUGAAAGUUGGAGCACACCACUCCAUAAAUGAGGCACUUUUCUUUCCUCCAUUCUCGCUUUCAGUUUGCUUGCCUUGCCCUGCUCGGUUCUGUCGCCACGUCUCCCUCAGUCUUCCGUAUCUUGCUCCGGAGCGUGCUCCUAAGGCGUAACUCAAUGCAAGAAGGGACUGUAUCGCUUAUCAUGUCUCAGGUGGCCUUGUCUGAGAAAUGGAACUUCUGUUGUCAACAUGAGAUUAGAAGCAUGGCCUAGUGAGUUCGCAGGUCCAAGAAAGACCUGAGCCCAUCCUGCUGCCUGGAGCCCAGCCCCUGUUGAGAAGACCCCUCAUGUGAUCCACAGAUGAAUGGGCAAAGAAAUUCUAUGCUCCAAUGUGCCCGGAGAUAUGAAGCAUGACAAGAACUACCACCCAAGCAGUUGUCAGAAUGAAAAGGCUUUGACAGCGGCUCCUCCAGGGGCUUGCCCUUCUCCCGCAAGCCAUCAACAAUGAAGAUGCUCCUGGGAUGGAAGGAUGGUGACUUUCCAGGCAGAAACUGUUUUCAGAAUCUGUACUUGUUUACUCAAAGGGGAUAUCAAAGAAAAAAGUUAAGGCAUUUCUUGAAUGAGGAAGAAAAGUGAAUGACAAGUAGAUUCGAAACUGAAAGCAAUAAAAUGAAUGUGGCUUUAAAAAAAAAAAAAUGCUUUUAAACAAGCGCCCUCCAACAUCUCAAGAGCAUCAUGACCAGAGAGCAGAGUGCUGUUCUGCCAUCAGAGGAGGACGAGUAGAUCCUGAAUGCGGCCCGAGAGAGACACAAUUCAGAGCUAGGUGGUACCAAGGUAAGUACACAUGAGGAACUGUUGAGAAGCCAAAUCAAAUCCCUAAACUCUGAGUAGCCUCCG